UGGGGAAUAUUGCGCAAUGGGCGAAAGCCUGACGCAGCGACGCCGCGUGAGGGAUGAAGGUUUUCGGAUCGUAAACCUCUGUCAGAAGGGAAGAAACCGCACUGUGCUAAUCAGCAGUGCCUUGACGGUACCUUCAAAGGAAGCACCGGCUAACUCCGUGCCAGCAGCCGCGGUAAUACGGAGGGUGCAAGCGUUAAUCGGAAUUACUGGGCGUAAAGCGCACGUAGGCUGCUUUGUAAGUCAGGGGUGAAAUCCCACGGCUCAACCGUGGAACUGCCUUUGAUACUGCUUAGCUUGAAUCCGGGAGAGGGUGGCGGAAUUCCAGGUGUAGAAGUGAAAUCCGUAGAUAUCUGGGGGAACAUCAGUGGCGAAGGCGGCCACCUGGACCGGUAUUGACGCUGAGGUGCGAAAGCGUGGGGAGCAAACAGG
rnacentral:rRNA from 1 species